rnacentral:tRNA from 1 species
AUUUCUAUAGCUCAAUGGUAGAGUAUAAUAUUCCUAAUAUUACGAUAAAUGUUCGAUUCAUUUUAGAAACC